GAUGAACGCUGGCGGCGUGCCUAACACAUGCAAGUCGAGCGAGAAGUAAAGAAAUGAAGCUUCGGUAGAUUUUCAUUAUGGAAAGCGGCGGACGGGUGAGUAACGCGUAGGCAACCUGCCCUGUACAGGGGGAUAGCCACCCGAAAAGGUGAUUAAUACCCCAUGAUGCAAGAGAUACACAUGUAUCACUUGUCAAAGAUUUAUCGGUAUGGGAUGGGCCUGCGUCUGAUUAGCUAGUUGGUAGGGUAACGGCUUACCAAGGCAACGAUCAGUAGCCGACCUGAGAGGGUGAUCGGCCACAUUGGAACUGAGACACGGUCCAAACUCCUACGGGAGGCAGCAGUGGGGAAUAUUGCACAAUGGGGGAAACCCUGAUGCAGCAACGCCGCGUGAAGGAAGAAGGCCUUCGGGUUGUAAACUUCUGUCCCUAGGGGAAGAAACAAAUGACAUUACCCUUGGAGGAAGCCCCGCUAACUAC
rnacentral:rRNA from 1 species